AGGCCGGCACGGGAGUCACCCAUGUGACGGCAUUCAAUCCCAUGGGAUUGGGUAGAGAGGUGUGGCAGGACCUCCUGCAGGAUGGCAGGCUGGAUUCGCCCCCUGCUGGUCAUACCACUUUGGGGCUGUUCUGGACAAUUAGUGAUGCCAUGACACACUACGAGGAGUGGGAGAGGAAGAUCGAAGCGUGGCAGAAUCCCAUCCUGGAGAACAGCCAGCUGCCUCCCUGGUACAAGUCAGCCCUGUUCAAUGAGCUCUACUUCCUGACGGAUGGAGGGACCAUCUGGAUGGAGGUGCCCCCUGAUUGCCGUGCCGAGGAGCUGCAGGGGCCGGCAGGGGCAGGGCUGUCCCACCUCCUUCCUGUCCUGCGGGAGUACGGAAGGUUUGCUUAUUU